rnacentral:rRNA from 1 species
AAGCUCGUAGUUGAAUUUCGGGAUCAAAUUGUCGGUCGUGCCUCGGUACGUACUGGCGUUAUUGGUUCCUCCCUUCUGAAGAACCGCGAUGUCAUUAAUUUAGUGUCGCGGGGAAUCAGGACUGUUACUUUGAAAAAAUUAGAGUGUUUAAAGCAGGCUCGCGCUUGAAUACAUUAGCAUGGAAUAAUGAAAUAGGACGUUUGAUUCUAUUUUGUUGGUUUCUAGGAUCGACGUAAUGAUUAAUAGGGAUAGUUGGGGGCAUUAGUAUUCAAUUGUCAGAGGUGAAAUUCUUGGAUUUAUUGAAGACUAACUACUGCGAAAGCAUUUGCCAAGGAUGUUUUCAUUAAUCAAGAACGAAAGUUAGGGGAUCGAAGACGAUCAGAUACCGUCGUAGUCUUAACCAUAAACUAUGCCGACUAGGGAUCGGAUGAUGUUAAUUUUUUAAUGACUCAUUCGGCGCCUUACGGGAAACCAAAGUGUUUGGGUUCCGGGGGGAGUAUGGUCGCAAGGCUGAAACUUAAAGGAAUUGACGGAAGGGCACCACCAGGGGUGGAGCCUGCGGCUUAAUUUGACUCAACACGGGGAAACUCACCAGGUCCAGACAUAGUAAGGAUUGACAGAUUGAGAGCUCUUUCUUGAUUCUAUGGGUG